GACGAACGCUGGCGGCGUGCUUAACACAUGCAAGUCGAACGGAAAGGCCCUGCUUUUGUGGGGUGCUCGAGUGGCGAACGGGUGAGUAACACGUGAGUAACCUGCCCUUGACUUUGGGAUAACUUCAGGAAACUGGGGCUAAUACCGGAUAGGAGCUCCUGCUGCAUGGUGGGGGUUGGAAAGUUUCGGCGGUUGGGGAUGGACUCGCGGCUUAUCAGCUUGUUGGUGGGGUAGUGGCUUACCAAGGCUUUGACGGGUAGCCGGCCUGAGAGGGUGACCGGCCACAUUGGGACUGGGAUACGGCCCAGACUCCUACGGGAGGCAGCAGUGGGGAAUAUUACACAGUGGGCGGAAGCCUGAUGCAGCAACGCCGCGUGCGGGAUGACGGCCUUCGGGUUGUAAACCGCUUUCGCCUGUGACGAAGCGUGAGUGACGGUAAUGGGUAAAGAAGCACCGGCUAACUACGUG
rnacentral:rRNA from 1 species